rnacentral:rRNA from 1 species
GACGAACGCUGGCGGCGUGCUUAACACAUGCAAGUCGAACGCUUAAGACCUGGCUUUUGUUGGGUUGGAUGAGUGGCGAACGGGUGAGUAACACGUGAGUAACCUGCCCUCUUCUUUGGGAUAACGCCCGGAAACGGGUGCUAAUACUGGAUAUUCACUGAUCUUCGCAUGGGGGUUGGUGGAAAGGUUUGUUCUGGUGGGGGAUGGGCUCGCGGCCUAUCAGCUUGUUGGUGGGGUGAUGGCCUACCACGGCUUUGACGGGUAGCCGGCCUGAGAGGGUGACCGGUGAAAUUGGGAAUGAGAUACGGCCCAGACUCAUACGGGAGGCAGGAGUGGGGAAUAUUGCGCAAUGGGCGAAAGCCUGAUGCAGCGACGCCGGGUGAGGGAGGGAGGCCUUCGGGGUGUAAACCUCUGGCGGGAAUGGUCAAGACGCAACUGUGGGUUGUGGUGAGGGUAGUGGGUAAAGAAGCGCCGGCUAACUACGUG